UACGUAGGGUGCGAGCGUUAAUCGGAAUUACUGGGCGUAAAGCGUGCGCAGGCGGUUCGUUAAGUUCGUUGUGAAAUCCCCGGGCUCAACCUGGGAAUGGCGAUGGAGACUGCAAGGCUAGAGUUUGGCAGAGGGGGGUAGAAUUCCACGUGUAGCAGUGAAAUGCGUAGAUAUGUGGAGGAACACCGAUGGCGAAGGCAGCCCCCUGGGUCAAAACUGACGCUCAUGCACGAAAGCGUGGGGAGCAAACAGG
rnacentral:rRNA from 1 species